CAACAGGGAUUGCCCUAGUAACGGCGAGUGAAGCGGCAACAGCUCAAAUUUGAAAUCUGGCCUCGGCCCGAGUUGUAAUUUGCAGAGGAUGUUUCUGGCGCGGUGCCUUCCGAGUUCCCUGGAACGGGACGCCACAGAGGGUGAGAGCCCCGUAUGGUUGGACACCAAGCCUGUGUGAAACUCCUUCGACGAGUCGAGUAGUUUGGGAAUGCUGCUCUAAAUGGGAGGUAAAUCUCUUCUAAAGCUAAAUACCGGCCAGAGACCGAUAGCGCACAAGUAGAGUGAUCGAAAGAUGAAAAGCACCUUGAAAAGGGGGUUAAACAGUACGUGAAAUUGUUGAAAGGGAAGCGCUCAUGACCAGACUUGUGCCGGGCGGUUCAUCCGGGGUUCUCCCCGGUGCACUCCGCCCGGUUCAGGCCAGCAUCGGUUCUCGUUGGGGGAUAAGAACGGUAGGAACGUGGCCCUCCCUCGGGAGGGUGUUAUAGCCUGCCGUACGAUACCCCUGAUGGGGACCGAGGUUCGCGCUCCGCAAGGAUGCUGGCGUAAUGGUCAUCAGCGACCCGUCUUGAAACACGGACCAAGGAGUCGUCCAUUAGAGCGAGCGUUUGGGUGUAAAACCCGCACGCGUAAUGAAAGUGAAAUUAGGUGAGAGCUUCGGCGCAUCAUCGACCGAUCCUGAUGUUCUCGGAUGGAUUUGAGUAAGAGUUUUAACGGACGGACCCGAAAGACAGUGAACUAUGCUUGUAUAGGGUGAAGCCAGAGGAAACUCUGGUGGAGGCUCGCAGCGGUUCUGACGUGCAAAUCGAUCGUCAAAUAUGAGCAUGGGGGCGAAAGACUAAUCGAACUGUCUAGUA
rnacentral:rRNA from 1 species